UUCUCAACAAAGGCUCUAACCAACAAGUCCUUGACUUUGGAUUGGCACCUGCUGAACUGUGCCAUGGAGACCAGAAGAGGAUGCCAGAUCCCUAAGAAUUAAGUAUGGGCAGUUGAGAGUCACCUGAUGUGGGUUCGGGGAACUGAACCCAGUCUUCUGCAAGAAAAGUAAGUGCUAUUACUCACUCAGCCAUAUUUCCAGCCCAAAGAUUUAUCUUUUUUUUUUUAUUAUGUAUAUGUGUAUGGACCUGAGUAUAUAUAUGUGCACCACACACAUUACAGAUGUCUCAGAGACCAUAAGAGGAUGCUGAUUUCCCUGGAGAGGAUUGUGGAUCAUUCUUUUUUGACCUCUGGUGGGAUUGUCAUGUUCCAGUGGAUGGUCCCACAUCCAUGCACAUAUGAACAGCAUCAACUAGACUUAAUGGAGUGUGUGUGUGUGUGUGUGUGUGUGUGUGUGUGUGUGUGUGUUGGAGGGAUAUGUUGUGGGGGAUAUGGUGGGAAUUGGAGGAAUAAACAUGAUCAUCUUUCAUUGUAUUAUAUGCACAAAAUUCUCAAGAAUGAAGAAAAACUUUAAAGUAAAAUUAGUUAAAAACAGAAAAAGCAGGACACUCCCUGAACAUAGAACAGAGAAAGCUGAGAUCACAUUCACCAGCUCACAGAGUAAGGAUGCCGUGUCCCAUAAGGGGCUACAUGGCACGCUUCCCAAGGAUGCUCCCUCCAUUGCCUUACCUGUGUUGAGAGCCCUGUUCAACACAGAGAGCAGUGUGCAGUGAUGUGUGGCUGGGUGGACCAGACUGGCUUUGAGACAAAUGAAGCUGAGUGAAGGAGGAUGAGACACAGAGGCCUGCAGCAGACCAGGUGUCACCAGGACUCCAUUCACCAAGGAAGCACACAGGUAAGAGGUUCAGGGAACUAACCUUGCAGGUUGGAAGCCAGGUCUGCACUCUGCAAACAGAAGAGGAACUUCGAGGCCCUCCAGGGAAUCUUGUGACUCAGAGGAGAUCUAUCAUGAACCUAUCAUGAUGGUGAUUGGUGAUCAUAAACUCUGUCCCUGGAACUAGCAUCCUAUAUGCAAAUGUAUCUGGCCCCACCCACUCCUGCAGAUGUCACCUCUGUCCCAACCCUUGUCUCCAUCCUGCCAGGGCCUAUCCUGCAUCAAGACCAGACUUGCUCUUUGAAUUCCCCCACAUCCUUCAUCACUCUUCCAGAGCAACCUGAGCCUCUUCUGUGGGGUUGGCCAAGCAGAAUUUAAAUGUAGCUCCAUCAUUACCAGUCAGGGUGAGUCAUUUGAUUUUUAUGGGUUUCACUUGGUUCAUCUGUAAAAAUGGAGAUCAGAGCCCCUGAGACCAUUUGUGAACAUUGAAUUGCCAUCAGCGAUCUAACAGUCUUGGCACAUAGUGGACAAUUAAUAAAUGGUACUUUC